CGCGCGGGUCCUCCACCGGCUCGCGACCCCUGGCCGCCGCCGUACGCCGGAGCGUGCGUGGGAACGUGCGCAGGCGCGCCUCGGGGAGGGCGGCCGCCCCGUUCGGCGCCCGGCGGCGGCGGCUGCGCGGGGACAGAUUUGGCGUCCCGCUUCCUAGGCUCAGCGGCGGGAAGGAGGUCCCAUGGCGAGACACUGCGCACGCGCCGCCCGUCGGGGGCUUCCUCGCGAUCUGGACUUGUAGCUCCGCCCCUGGCUUCUGUGUGCCCGCCCGGCGCUCUGGUUCGAGUCACGAGUUUUCCGUCACCGACGGGGCGGAGAAAAGCCUUGUGAUUGUCACAGGGGUCUGCUGGGCCAAUAUUUAGAAUAUAAUGUUAUGACCUUGGAAGGAACACAUCUCUGCCACUUCAGAAAUAAGGAAACUGAAGCCUAGAGAGAUGGAGAAACUUGCACGAGCAGGAAAGUGUUUUUGGCAUGGCCCAGCCUCUCUGAGAAUCCCCCUGAAAAGAUCAAUGCAAAGACCCUUCUGUAGGCUGCUACCUUCGGCUGUUUGAAUAUCAUUGAAAAGGCCUACAGGGCAGAAACCAUGACCAGAAGUCAUAUUACAUGAAGCUGAACUGUCAUCUUACUCUUUUGAAAGACGAGGACCCAAAAGCAUCUUCUUUGGUUCACUUACAGAGGCUUGCUGCUCCUCCUAUGUUCUACUGCAGUAUUCUACUAGCUGCCAUGUUGUGAGCUGCCCUAUGAAGAGACCCACGGGGUGAAGUACAGCCCUUGAAGAACUGAAUCCUGCUGGCAACCAUGUGAUUGACUUUGGAAGCAGAUUCUUUCCCAGUCAAGCCAUGAGAUGAGACGCAGCCUCCAGCCAACACCUUAACUGCAGUCAGGCAGAGGCACCCAGCGAAACUGCACCUGGAUUCCUGAAUCACAGAAACCAGAGGGUAAUGUUGUUUCAAGCUGUUUUAGGGCAAUUUGUUAUGCGGCGAUAGAUAACUAAUACAAACUGUAAGGGGGUGAAAACUACAAGUCAGGAAGUGUAUUCUCCAUCCUCCCUGCAGUGGGGAAGAAUUGCUGUGGGGAACAGAAAUGACCUUCCCCUUCAAUUUUCUAGCUCCUUUAUCUCUUUCUAUUGAACACCGCACCCUGGGGACACUGCCUCCAGGUACAAUAGCCAGAAGGUGGUCUCACCUGUUCCUCAGCAGGCCCUGAGGGUCAAGGGGGGGGGGUAAGGCUCAGUGUUUAUUUUCCAGUGGGAAAGAAACAGGCUUAGAGGAAAGAGAGAGAGAGAGGGAAGCGGAGCCCCAAACCCCAGGAUCCUCUAUUUGGUUUGUUUGUAAAGGUGAAAUUAAGU